AUGAAGUCUGAGGAGACUUGCAUCGUGAUUUUCCUGUUGACGGUGGAGAUGUGUGAAGGCUGCAGAGAUGACUGGCCAUACUGGACGUGGGACAGUGCUGCCAACCGAGGACAUGUAAAUGACGUCUGUCCUCGCACCUCUGCCUUUGGGUUCUUGAUGAACUUCCAACGGCUCAGUGCCUCCUUUGCUCACUCGGGCAUCCUCUGCACGUCCAGCACAGGUCCCCGGGGUCUUCAAAGAGGUUUUCAAGCGUGUAGAAAAAAAUACAGCCCGGUGGCUGGGAUGAAGGCAAGAAUGAUGGGUCUCACCAGGGGUCUCCCCACAUGGGAGACCAAGGGGGAGGCAGGGGUGUCUCCGGGCUGGUCACUGGUGGAGGAGGGGUGCCAUCCCCUCUCAUCAUGGGGCUUAUUGAAGCACUGCCUGAAAUUUGGGUGUUUGAUUUUUUUUUUUUUUUUUUUUUGUAUAUUUCUGUUCGGAUAUACCUGGAUUGGAGAGGAGACCAAAAUGAUUGCUCAAGUAUGAGGGCGGAAGCGAGGAAGGGACUGAGGAGGAAAGUGGUGGCAGGGAGGAAGGAGG
rnacentral:lncRNA from 1 species